GUGCUCCCCUCAGCAGCACAGGUACUAAAAUUGGAACAACACACACGAGGUUAACAUGCCCUUCCAUAAGCAUGACGUGCAAAUUUGUGAAGUGGUCCAUAUAUAU
ensembl:snRNA Rnu6-1205 RNA, U6 small nuclear 1205